CCAUCAACCUUCAACAGUGCCAACCAGACUUCAACAGUGCCAACCAGACCCCUCCAAUAGAUAAAUUCCCUCCAGACCCCUCCAGCGAUCGACCUUCCAUAGUGUCCUCUAGACUCCUCUAGCGGACGAACUUCCACAACACCUUUCAGACUCUUCUAUCGGUCAACCUUCUAUAGUGCCUUCUAAAUUCUGCUAUCGAUCAACCUUCUGUCAGAUUCCUCA
rnacentral:lncRNA from 1 species